rnacentral:sRNA from 1 species
AGGGAAAUGAGCUGAGCAGAGGGUUUGAGUCAGAACAGCAGCCCCCGGUUUUCCCAGCUGCCCAGCAGUGAAGGCAACCUGACAUGUGGCAUCCAUCUCCCCACAGUGCUCCAGCUUUUCUGCAGCUCACCCAAGGCUGCUCUCCGCUAUGCUGCUGUUCGUACCCUCAAUAAGGUUGCCAUGAAGCAUCCGUCAGCUGUGACAGCUUGUAAUCUGGAUCUGGAGAACCUGGUCACAGAUUCAAACCGCAGCAUUGCCACGCUGGCCAUCACUACCCUCCUUAAGACGGGCAGCGAGAGCAGCAUCGACCGCCUCAUGAAGCAGAUCUCCUCCUUCAUGUCAGAAAUCUCGGAUGAAUUCAAGGUGGUGGUUGUCCAGGCCAUCAGUGCCCUGUGUCAGAAAUAUCCUCGCAAACACGCCGUCCUUAUGAACUUCCUGUUCACCAUGCUGCGGGAAGAGGGUGGCUUUGAGUAUAAGCGCGCUAUCGUGGACUGCAUCAUCAGCAUCAUUGAAGAGAACUCAGAGAGCAAGGAGACAGGGCUGUCACAUCUGUGCGAGUUCAUCGAGGACUGUGAGUUCACAGUGC